CCUACGGGUGGCAGCAGUGAGGAAUAUUGGUCAAUGGGCUUACGCCUGAACCAGCCAAGUCGCGUGAGGGAAGACUGCCCGAUGGGUUGUAAACCUCUUUUGUCAGGGCGCAACGCCGGCUACGUGUAGCCGGACUGAGAGUACCUGAAGAAAAAGCAUCGGCUAACUCCGUGCCAGCAGCCGCGGUAAUACGUAGGAUGCGAGCGUUAUCCGGAUUUGUGGGGUUUAAAGGGUGCUUAGGCGGAAGGCCAAUUCAGCGGUAAAAUCGCGGGGCUUAACCUCGCUCCGCCGUUGAAACUGGCUUUCAUGAGUGUGCGAGAAGUAUGCGGAAUGCGUGGUGUAGCGGUG
rnacentral:rRNA from 1 species